UUCAAUCCUCUUUCAGAAUACUAAUCCCUAAACUUAUUAAAUUUAUUGACCAGGUGAUUUUUCACUUCUACCCGAAGUUCGUAUUUCUCGGAUUGGUGUUGUGUGUAGAUUACUGGUGGUCAGCUUGCUAAAGCAUUGUAUUUAGGUCAAGUUUGGAUCAGACUUUCAUUGGAACAUUGUGAUCUCCUCUUCCUGCUACCUUUGAUCUAGGGGUCCGGAGCGAUUGCACUUGAAUCAAAGUUGAGCUGUUGACAGGGAGGCACAUACUGUUACCUCCUCCAGGUGCUCGGUUGAGUAAGGACCCGUUUGGCGCUAAGAAGAAGGCCAGCCCCUCGGCAUAGGAGGGGGUGGUACUGUUUUUUGUGUUGAUCAUGAACGUGAAACUUGUGCUGAAAUCAGCGUGAAACUUGUGCUGAAAUCAGCAAGUCUUCCUGUAUCAUUGUCCUGGAGGAGGAAGGGUUUGCCAUACCUGACACAGCCAAAACUUCCAUUAGCCACAAGUGUUUCCCCUCCAUCUCUGCCUUUGGUGAGGUGAAUGAGUUGGUUGCGGAUAACAGCAUCUCCCUCGGUAACUAAUUUUUUCAACACAUCCGUACUGUUGGUGUGAUCACCUUGUUGAAAGUGGGAAAUUUCAUAAUAAAGGAGCUGCAAAAGGGAUUAACAGAAGCAGGAGAAUAACAAAGAAGUGAUGAUCAAGCUUUGGUGAGAGGACUACCAUGAUAGCCGAGUUAUUGGCAGCCAUUUUUGCUUUUGGUGGUGGGAAAGAAAAACACUGGUGCUGACAGAGACGACAGAGACUUUCUUGUCACCAAGUCACCGUGUGACAAAUGGGGGACCUCUAAAAUAAAGAAGCAGAUGAUUGCAGGGUGAAAUUUCCAGUUGAAAAUGUGUAAACAAAGUUUGAUUGGGAGGAGGACUUGGAGACCUGGUUGACUGAAUCUAGUGAAAUUGUUCCCAAACCAGCGCUUGGGGCCAUCAACCUUGUCACUGCUGGUUGGCUUGCACACUUACAAUCUGGCACUUUACUUUAUUUCCAGAAGGGAUAUCGAACGCACGACCUCAAGUGCAGAAAUA